AAAAUAACAUGUAACAGUUUGUCUCUCGCAUCGGAGUUUUGCAGAAGCCCUAGCUUUCAGUUUGAUUAGGCGAUUUUGUUGACUCGUGACUCGUGACUCUAUCCGGUUUUUCAUUCUCGCGAAUCUAAAGUUGCCAUGCUGUUUAGAGGUGCCUUAAGUACAUCCCUUACAGGUUGAGAUUCUUGUUGUUACCAUUGAGACUCUAGCUCUAGCUCCUUCUCCUCAGUCAAGCAAGGAAGUUGAUGCAGGUGUGAAAUUAAUUGGCACAACAAGUCACUUUGUGAUUGAGGGACUUGUUGCUGUACCUAUUAUUGAACAAAUGGUGAACAAAGUUGAGUGUUCACCUUCUGUUUAGUCUUUGUAUUUUAACUACUAACAAUAUGUUUUGGUAAGAUUGUCAUAGUUAAUACUAAGACUUCUGUUUAGUCUCAUAGUCACAGGUAAUACUAAGACUGUUCUUUAUUUCAUCCACUCCCCUCUUGAAUCCUAUGGCUUAUAUUACCCUUUAUUUCUUGUUAGCAUUGAUAAUAUGAUACUGAAAUUGAUUUUUAGUUGAUUGUACACUUGGUAUUAAAUCUUUCACGUAUCCAUACUUGUAUCCAUUGACCUUUUCAUGAGCAGUAUGGGUGCUUUUCUGCUUAGCGCAGGGACUAAAGGAAAGAGAUAUAGCUUGCAAAAUUCAAGGAUAAUGAUUCACCAACCUCUUAGUGGAGCUCAAGGAGGACAAACUGACAUAGGUAUACAGGUACAGGCUCCAUUUUCUUUUUUCCACCUUAUUUUUUGCAUAAACAUCUUGUUUGUUUCUAAUAGCUUAUAUACUAUGAUCAUUUGAAAUUAAAGCAUAUGUAGGUAUUUGAAGUUGAGUAAGUGUUAUGGUAGAAAGACCCAAUUUCUUUUUUUUAAUUGCGCUUCAUGAAGUUCCAAAAUAGAAGUGCAUUUUGUUUAUGUAGAAAAUGGACCAAAUUGGUCCUCAGCAGUAUUUAAGUUCUGAUGUUUUCAAUCAGAAAUGACUUGACACUGUGCCAGAGUUAUUCUCUUUGUGACAGCUCACUUUAAAUUACAAUUUACAACUCUGAGGUUUGUUCCCGUGGUUCUAGUACAAUAAACUAAAAUGUUGAGUAUUGGAUUAAGUUGUUGGUUACAUCUUGCUCUUGAUUAUCUUAUUUUGAGAAAGUCUCUUAGAAUUGAAAAAUGAAAAACUUGGGGCUGUUCAAUCAAUAGUAUAGUUUGAUGCAGUUUUUGCAUUUUCACCAACCAAAUCAACCUAAUCAGCUCAUGAAAAGUAUAUUUUUUGCAUUUUGUCAUGAUCUUAAAGCCAUUUGCUUGGAGCCUACAAAGUCUUAUCACGCUAUCAUUUCCUUAGGGGACAAAAUUGAAAAUAAUGAUAAUGAUAAUGAUAUAGAUCCAAAAUUAAAAAUAAUGGUAAUAGUAGUAAUUACAGUUUUAUAAGGAUUUGAAUUAGUUUCAGUUAGCAAUAGAAUGCAAUUAUAAGCAACAUAGAAAUAAUAAUUGAUCAUUAGCGGUCAUGUCCUAAAUUCAACUUCACACUUAUAAUGUCCUAAAUUCAACUUCACACUUAUAAUUCUAUAGUUUAAUUAGAAUUUUUGUUCUGGAAAAGGGAAAGCCUUUAUGAUAGAUAGCAUUAGUAGUUAGUUAGAGGUCUGUUAGUGUCUUUGUGAGGAGCUAGUUGGUUAGGUUAGUUGGGUAGGUUGAGAUAGUAGAACAAAUAAGGCAUAUUUAGUUGGGUAGGUUGAGAUAGUAGAACAAAUAAGGCAUAUUUUUUUUUAAAAGACAUUCUACAUCGGUUAUGUAUCAAAUGAUGUAGAAAGUGACUAUACAACAUCGGUUUUGGCCUAAUCGAUGUAGAAAGUGUCUUUUUUUACAUCAGCUUUUGAAGAACUGAUAUAGAAAAUUCAUUUUUUACAACGGUUUUCACAAAAAUUGAUGUUUUUGCAUUUUUAUGUAUAUUUCUUAUUAUACGACAUCAAUUUUGGGAAGAACAGAUGUUAGAUAGUGGAUUUCAACAUUGGUUUUUAUGACUGAUGUUAAAAUUAAUACUUUUAACGACGAUAAUUUCAACAUCGGUUCAUAACUGAUAUUAAUAGAUUAUUUAGACUAAAUGUCAAAACAUAAGCUUCUCACAAAUUUCAUGGUGACUGAGAAAUGAAGAUUUAGCAAGCAUUAAGACCGUAAAAGAUAUCAACGGUGAAGAUUAAAGAUACAAGUCAUAAAGAGUGAAGAUUGAAGAAAAAAAUAUCAACGACGAAGAUUGAAGAUACAAGUCAUCAAUGGUAUAAAUUACUAGAAGUUAUUAGUUAGGAGAAAUUAUUAGAAGUUAUUGUGUAGUUAUGAAUCUUUGUCUAUAAAUACUAGUUUGCACCAUGUAAAGGUUGAAACAUGUAAACACUCACAUAUCCUAUUAAGUCCACACAACGUUCACAUAUCAACGAGUUAUAAAGACAAUGUUCUCAACCACCAUUUUGUUUCCAUCA